rnacentral:rRNA from 1 species
UACGGAAGGUGCAAGCGUUAAUCGGAAUCACUGGGCGUAAAGCGCACGUAGGCGGCUUCGUAAGUCGGAUGUGAAAGCCCUCGGCUCAACCGGGGAACUGCAUUCGAAACUGCGCGGCUGGAGUCCUGGAGAGGGUGGCGGAAUUCCCGGUGUAGGAGUGAAAUCCGUAGAUAUCGGGAGGAACACCAGUGGCGAAGGCGGCCACCUGGACAGGUACUGACGCUGAGGUGCGAAAGUGUGGGGAGCAAACAGG